rnacentral:tRNA from 3 species
AGGGCUAUAGCUCAGUUAGGUAGAGCACCUCGUUUACACGUGCGCCAAUGUUUU